UACGUAGGGUGCGAGCGUUAAUCGGAAUUACUGGGCGUAAAGCGUGCGCAGGCGGUUCGUUGUGUCGGUGGUGAAAUCCCCGGGCUUAACCUGGGAACUGCGCUUGUAACUGGCAAGCUGGAGUGUGGCAGAGGGGGGUGGAAUUCCACGUGUAGCAGUGAAAUGCGUAGAGAUGUGGAGGAACACCGAUGGCGAAGGCAGCCCCCUGGGCUAACACUGACGCUCAUGCACGAAAGCGUGGGGAGCAAACAGG
rnacentral:rRNA from 1 species